CGAGGGGCAGCGGGGUUGUAGCAAUACAACUGCCGGCGACCGGCGCACGGGUGAGUAACACGUAUGUAACCUGCCCUCUGCAGGGGGAUAAGCGGAAGAAAUUCCGUCUAAUACCGCAUAAUACAAUUUGGAGACAUCUCCGGGUUGUCAAAGGAGUGAUCCGGCAGAGGAUGGACAUGCGGCGCAUUAGCUAGUCGGCGGGGUAACGGCCCACCGAGGCUACGAUGCGUAGGGGUCCUGAGAGGAAGGUCCCCCACACUGGUACUGAGACACGGACCAGACUCCUACGGGAGGCAGCAGUGAGGAAUAUUGGUCAAUGGGCGGAAGCCUGAACCAGCCAAGUCGCGUGAGGGAAGACGGUCCUAUGGAUUGUAAACCUCUUUUGCAGGGGAGCAAGGCGCGGUACGUGUACCGCGAAGGAGAGUACCCUGAGAAAAAGCAUCGGCUAACUCCGUGCCAGCAGCCGCGGUAAUACGGAGGAUGCGAGCGUUAUCCGGAUUUAUUGGGUUUAAAGGGUGCGCAGGCGGACUGUUAAGUCAGCGGUAAAAUGUCGGUGCUCAACACCGGCCGGCCGUUGAAACUGGCAGCCUUGAAUG
rnacentral:rRNA from 1 species